rnacentral:rRNA from 1 species
UCGGGAAUUUUGGGCAAUGGGCGAAAGCCUGACCCAGCAACGCCGCGUGAAGGAUGAAGUAUUUCGGUAUGUAAACUUCGAAAGAAUAGGAAGAAUAAAUGACGGUACUAUUUAUAAGGUCCGGCUAACUACGUGCCAGCAGCCGCGGUAAUACGUAGGGACCAAGCGUUGUUCGGAUUUACUGGGCGUAAAGGGCGCGUAGGCGGCAAUUCAAGUCAUCUGUGAAAUCUCCGGGCUUAACUCGGAACGGCCAAGUGAUACUGUCGCGCUAGAGUGCAGAAGGGGCAAUCGGAAUUCUUGGUGUAGCGGUGAAAUGCGUAGAUAUCAAGAGGAACACCUGAGGUGAAGACGGGUUGCUGGGCUGACACUGACGCUGAGGCGCGAAAGCCAGGGGAGCAAACGGGAUUAGAUACCCCUGUAGUCCCUGAGCGGGCUGGCAAGGCGCAU